rnacentral:tRNA from 1 species
GGGCGACUUGUGAGAGGUACCCCGUUCCGUUCACACCGAAGAGGUCACUGGUUCGAUCCCAGUAUCGCCCA